CUUUUACUCCAAAAAUGUCCUAAACAACUAACGUUAACACUUACACUUGAAUAAAAAUGUAUGUUUUGUCAAUCAAAAUGUCGAUCAAACUGUAGUAAAUGAUUGAGAUAACGAGUAAUUUUCAAGAAACGUUUAUGACACUGACGUGCACGCUCAGUUGACACUACCAACAUUUUCUCAGCAGUCACUUUAGCUGAUACAGCCAUCACAAUUUGUGUAUAGACAAUCAUGUGAACACGUUGAGGGUGUGACGCCAGAAUGUUGAGUUUUAAAAUAAAGUUGUGUGCAUUAUUUUUCAUCUGUCAUAUGGUAGCAUCAGAAGACAUACAGAAUACUCCAAAUGUAUGGUACAUUGAGCCAACAAUUAAUCGAAACGCUUAUGGCGCUACCGUUGCAUAUUCUUUGAACGGUACAUCAUGGUUAUUGGACUUAACGGACGUUGCACUGAAAAAAGUGCCAAUAGUGUACAAUAAAAAUGGCGUUAUAACAGAAGACACAAUCAAGGUUCAGAAUUGUUCUGUACAGACAAUGGGAAAUCUGCCUAUAUUUCAACAAUUAGAAUAUUUGAAUAAUGUAACCAGAAGCACUCAACUCGAUGAAUCAAACGAUUCAAUCAAACAGUCAAACGUGUCAUUAUGUAACGAUAAAACCAAAUGGAUGUUAACUGACGGCCAAGAUUCUUACGUGUUCACAGUUUUUAAUAAAUCUAACCAAAGUGAUCAGUCAGUUCCGAAAGAGUUAGUUUAUGGCUUAAGUGCAGUCUCUUUUCUAUUACUGUUGUUGUCGUCCUGUUUGAUUUAUUGCAAGUGUGCAUCACCUUCGGCGUCCGGGAUGGAAGACUAUCAUAUUGUUGAUAUUUGCCUGACGGGCUGUUGUAAAUUUUAGAAAUCCCUCGUUUUUAAUAAAAUAAUUCAACUUUUGUUGAAGCAAUAAGACAGCAUU